rnacentral:lncRNA from 1 species
GCGGCACCUCCCCUGUGAGUAAGGGAGGCUGGAUCUCAGGCUUGUUUGAGCACAGCUUUCCGUGCGUUAUCUUGGAGCAGCCGCGCAGGCUUCUUUAGCGCUUUUUUAUGCACUAAAGUUAUUUGCUCCUCAAGACGUUUCGAAGAGAGAAGAGGCAAAAAUCACUAAAGAGAAUGGAAGAAAGGCUUGAUCAUUUUGCAAGGCCCAUACUACAUGGCUGAGAAAUCAACUACUACAGGAGAGAAACUACUACAGGAGAAAAUCGACUACCACAGGAGCAAAACAGUGCAGUUUGACUCCUGCACUGUUCAAGCCUUCCUGAAAAGCAUACUUGGUCUCUAGCUGCGUCACCAUUUUGGCUGCUGGGGUCUGAUGAGCAACCUUGUGGAAGAAGAGACAGAAGCAGAUCCAGAGUGGUGGAUGGAACUCUAAACUACAUUGAUUUUACUCUUGUAAUUUGAAUAUGACAAAAAAAGUAAUUCCAUACAGACAAGAGUACAUAAAAAAAUGAUUUAACAACUUUAUUAAAUAUAUUUGAUACACUAAACAAUUCAGUCAUUUAAAGUGUGCAUUUAAUUGGCUUUUAAUAAGUUCAUAGAUUUGUGCGACCAUCAGUGCAACCAAUUUCAGAGCAUUUCUUUUUUUUUUUCAGGGUCGCAUCCACAGCAUAUGGAGGUUCCCAGGCUAGGGGUCUAAUUGGAGCUGUAGCCGCCAGCCUACGCCAGAGCCACAGCAACAUUAGAUCCAAACCGUGUCUGUGACCUAUACCACAGCUCAUUGGCAAUGCUGGAGCCUUAACCCACCGAGCGAGGCCAGGGGUCAAACCCACAAUCUCAUGGUUCCUAGCUGGAUUUGUUAUCACUGGGCCAUGACAGGAACUCCUCCCAAUUUCAGAGCAUUUCUAUAAUCCCCAAAAGAAACCCUGUUACCCUUUAGAGGCACCCCUCAAAUCUACCAACAACUACCCCUGCCUUAAUUUCUUUCUCUGUAGACUUGCCUGUUCUGGACAUUCAUAUAAAUGGAAUCAUACAUU